rnacentral:lncRNA from 1 species
AAUAUAUUAACAUUACUAGUCUACCAGACAAAUUAAAUUAUGAUAAAUUAUAUUUGUAUUUAUUAAAUACACAAAAGCUCUUUCUUUCAAGUGUAUGUACAUGGAAACCUCCAAAUAUAUAUCCAAACAUUUCACCUGAUAAAUGCAGAGCCAUCUAAAAAUUGUCUAAACAAAGAGCAGAAAAAUUAGAGAAAUAGUGUGGACCACAUCCGUAGUAACUUUCAUUGCAGUAGACAGACAAAUUGAAACUACUGAGAACCAAAGGGCAUUUAUUAUGCAUUGGAAAGCUUCAGAUAUGCUUCAGCAAGUGCGGUUUGUAUUGCUGCCCCAAGUACAUCCUCGUCAAGAAAAAAGUGAGAGGAGUGGUGGGAGUGAAUUGAACCUGAUUGGUGUCAAAAAUUGAAUGUUUAUUAAGGGAUACAAAUGUUAUUUUUUUUAUUAAUGUAAUUUAUAUUUGUAAUUGUGUAACGUAUUGUGAAUUUUUAAUUAUUUUUCUAAAUAUUUGAUUUUGUGUAUUUUUUAUGUGUUUAUUAGGUAAAAAUAAUAAUUUCAUGCAAUUUGAGGCUCCGAAAAAUAUAUGAAUGUCGAAUUUGGAUUUCAGAAGUCCGAAAAAUUAUGUCAUUAUCGAGGUGGAUCCAAGACUUUUGUUGUAAAUUUUUACGUUUUUACCACAGUAAAUGUGGUAAUUGUAAAAUUAUAAGUUUUUAUCAUGUUAGGUAUGGUAAUUGUUAGUGGAAUGUGUUGGAUAUGCUUGAGUGGAUAAGUUAGGUUUAUGUUUUAUUAGUGGGAUUAUUAGUGGGACAAAUGUAAGGUUAAAAUAUAAUUAGAUUUUUUUAUUUGUGUGGUGAGGAUUUACCAUGUAUUAGUAUAAAUAGAGGGGGGGUGAACACACCUCUCCACACCUUAUCUUUUCUUCUUUCCCCCCAAAUUCUUCUUCUCAUCUCUCUUUGUAAUUUAUUUUCAAUCAAUAAAAAUAGUUUUAUUUCAAUUUUCAAAUUCCAUUUUUAAUUAUGUGUUUUUCAAUUUUAGUAAUUUCCUUUAUUAAAAAAAAUGUUUAGCUAAAUAUUAAUAGUUAGGGGAAGGUGAAACUCUUAGGAAAUAAAUAUGAUUUAAUCAAAUUCUAUUUUUAAUUUUAUAAAUUAAGUUAUUUUCUAUUUAAUUUUAUACAUAUUUUCUAUUAUGAAAUUUUGAUUUAUUGUAGACAAACAAGGGAGUUUGGCACAAUAAAUUCUUUUUAUCUUAAUAUAAGGUAUGGUAAAAUAGUAUUUUGACUUGUUGUAGACAAAUUAAAUUUUACCGCAAUGAAUACUUAAAUCAUCAUAAAAUUAAAGGGAAAAUAAUAAUAAUUUAUAUAAUUAAUCUUUUGGGCAAUAAAUCUAAAACAAAUGGCAAAAAGAAUUUAUUAAGUUUUAUUUAUAACUAAAAGUGAAUUCACAACCCUAACUAAUUCAAUUUCAUAGUUUUAUUUAAAUUAAGUUGUUUAUAUUUAAGUUUUAUUUUCAAAUUUUAGAUAAAAUAAAAUAAACAAAUUAAAUCUUUUCUCUGUGGAUCGACCUCGGACUCACCGAGAUAUAUUAUAAUUAGGCACUCUUAUACUUGAGAGUAAAUCAAACACUUUUAAGUCGUGUCAAGUUUUUUGCGCCAUUGAUGGGGAGAGGUAUUUAUUUUGUUUUAUUUUUCCUUUUAUUUUUUGUACUUUUUGUGUAAAUUUCCCCCUUUUCCUUUUCUUAAAUUCUCUUCUACCCCCACAUCUUUCAUAAUUGUAGUUUCACCCCAACAAUUCUCGUUUCUUGCUCAUUCUUCUCAUAAUUAUGUUCUGACCCUAAAAUCUUUCCGAAUCUUCACUCUCAUCCCACAUGGCUAGGGAUGGCAAAUUAACCCGGACCUGGAUCGGACCCGGACAAACCCAGAUAAUCCGAUCCGGGUUUAACCCGCACCGAAAGGUAAUACAAUGCGGAUCCGGAAAUGAUAUUUUGAACCUGGAUACAUUCCGGGUCCGGAUCCAGUUUUAUCUUAACCCGGACCCGGAUAAUUUAAGUAUAAAAGAAAAAAAAACCCCCCUAAUGCCUUAAGUCUUAACCUACUACAGCCGCUUCUUUCUUCUCUAAUUUCUCUUUCUUUCUUCUCCAUCUUCUCUUUUCAUUAAAUCCACUGCAGCUGCUUUCUUUCUUCUCCAAUUUCUCUUUCAUUCACUCAAAUGACUUGGAAAAAUCUUUGUAUUGAAAGGAAGACAAAGAGGAAUGUGCCCAUUAAGGCUGAUCCUCAUUUUUUAUCACUCUUGUUGGUUUUUUAUAGCUGUUUUCCGCCACUCCUGCUAGUUUUUUGUCACUAGAAACUGCCGAAUCUCCACAGUAACUUUCUGGCGAUGCUCUCCUCGACGCCAACGACAACACCAAUGCCACUAAAAAUCUGAAAACUCAGCAAUCCUCCCUCAACAUUCAUUUAGCUAUGGUUUCGGAAUUUUGGUGAUUUGAGAUUUGGAGAUUUGAGGAAGUAACAUUGAGAGAAAAAAAAAAUUGUAAUAGAUAUCUGGGUUUGGAACCCGCAAUCCGGAAACCCAGACCCGGAAUUAAAAUAUUCAGGUUAUAUUUGGGUCCGGUAUAUCAAAAUUGUCAUCCGGGUCCGGAACCGGAAAGGCCGGACCCGGAUUUUGCUAUCCCUACACAUGGCUCAAUUUUAAACUUCUAAAAAUUAUGGUGUGGCCAUAAAAUAUAAAUAAUUUGCAAUAAGAUCCCUAGACGAAAUUUCUCACAGUAAUUAGACUUGGACUUAUUUGGACUUAAUGUGGACCAAGCAAACUAACUACAAAUUUUUUUAACAAACUAACUACUAAUUUUUUUUAUUUCAGUUAUUUAAUUUUCAGUUUUUUUAUUUCCUUUUUUUUCUUUUUAUUGGUGGGUUCAACCACCAAAUUGUUAUUUAAUUUUAAAUUAUUAAUUUUCUUUUGUACACUCAUAUUAUUUGCAUAUUUAAUUUUCAUUUUUUUCUUUUUGCAAUUUUCAUUUAGUGUUUGUGUUACGAAUUUGGUUGUUAUCUUUGUGAUAUAAUUAUUGUAUGAGACGUUGGUCUCGCACUUCAAGUGGCAGGUUAAUUUGUAGAUCUGAAUCACCACCACCAAGCAUGGACGAGAUCCAAGAUGAAAACAAUUUAGACCAACUUAAUCCUCUAAUUGAUCAGGGAGACAACCAAUCUCAACAUGAUCAUAAUCAACCGAGAACUUUGAGAGACUACAUGAAUCCAACAAGAAUUGGAGCACCGUCGUGUAUAGUAUUUCCUCCAGAAGCAUCUCGAUUUAACUUCAAACCAGGUAUUAUCCAACUUUUACCAACAUUUCAUGGUUUAGUAUCUAAAAAUCCAUAUUUGCAUCUAAGAGAUAUCGAGGAAGUUUGUAAUACAUACACAGAUCAAAAUUGUAGCAUGAACAUAAUUAGAUUAAAGUUUUUUCCUUUUUCAUUAAAAGAUAAAGCUAAAACUUGGCUACAAAACCUUAGAUCUGGAUCAAUAAGAACUUGGAAUAACAUGCAAGAACAGUUUUUGAAAAAAUUCUUUCCACCUCAUAGAACAAAUUCUUUUAAAAGGUAAAUUACUUCUUUUACUAAAAAAAAUGGAGAAACAUUAUACCAAUGUUGGCAUAGGUUUAAAGAAUUGCUUAACAUAUGUCCACACCAUGGUUUUGAAACUUGGCGAUUGGUCACUUAUUUCUACGAGGGCUUAAUACCACAAACUAGACACGUUGUAGAAAUGAUAUGUAAUGGUAAAUUUAAAGAUAAAAAUCCUGAAGAUGCACUAGAUUACCUUGACCAACUAGCCGAAAAUGCACAACAUUGGGAUACCGUUAGAAAUUUUGAAUUAACUAAUAAACCACAACCAUCUCCAUCUAGUGGAGGAAUCUACAACCUUAGGGAAGAUCAUGAUUUAUAAGAAAACUUUGCAUCCCUAGUUAGGAAAGUUGAAGCUUUGGAAAAUAAAAAAAGUGAUCAAGUAAAAUCUGUUCAAGAAAUUGCAUGUGAUGUUUGUAGUUCUAAUGAUCAUUUCAUUCAAGAUUGUCCCACUCUGCCUGCACUCAAAGAAUGUUUGCAUGAUCAAGCUAAUGCCAUCAACACUUUUAACAAACCAAACCCAUAUUCACAAACUUAUAAUCCUAGUUGGAGAAAUCAUCCAAAUUUUAGUUGGAGGAAUAAUAAUAAUGCACAAUCUUCACAAGUAUCACCUCCACAAAAUUUUCAAAAUACUCAACCUUUUGUAUCAUAUGUUCCACCACCAUGGAAAAAUUUGGAAGGUACAAUGCAUUCAUUCAUUAGGAAGCAAGAUGCUAUUAACAAUCAAAAUGCACAAACCUUUUCUGAUUUGAAAGAUACUCUUGCUAAAAUUGCUUAUGCACUCACAAUUCAAGAAAAAGGAAAAUUUCCAGCUCAACAACAAACAAAUCCUAAGAUUCAAAAUGCACCCAUAGACCAUGUUAAGUCAAUUAUAACUCUUCGUAGUGGUAAGGUUAUUGAUCGGCUUAUUCCUUAACUUUGUGAAAAUGAAAAUUCAAAGGGUAAGGAAGAACUAGAUAAACUUACACCUAGUGAAGAAAUAACUAAUGUUCCAUCUGAACCACCAUUUCAGCAUGCAUUAAAUAAACCAAGGAAAUCAAACCACUCUUCUGAAAUUUAUGAAAUCUUUAAGCAAGUGAAAGUUAACAUUCCUCUGUUAGAUGCAAUCAAGCAGGUACUUUCAUAUGCCAAAUUUUUAAAGGACUUAUGCAUUGUUAAGAGGAAAUUGAAGGUAAAAAAGAGUGCUUUCAUGGCUGAACAGGUAAGUGCCAUUCUGUCUACAAAUAAUAAGUUGAAGUAUAAAGAUCAUGGUUGUCCUACUAUUUCUUGUAUUAUUGGAGACCACAAAAUUGAGCAUGCUUUGUUAGACCUUGGUGCUAGUGUUAAUUUGCUUCCACAUUCAGUUUAUCUUCAACUUAAUAUUGGUGAGUUAAAAUCAACUUCAACUACACUUUUACUUGCCGAUAGAUCAGUUAAAAUACCAAAAGGAAUAGUGGAAGAUGUUUUAGUACAAGUUGAUAAAUUCAUAUACCCUGUGGAUUUUAUUAUUUUAGAAACUGAACCUGUUGUGAAUAAUUAUAAACCAAUUCCUGUAAUUUUGGGUGCAGGAAUGGUUUAAUGAAUUUUUCAUUUGGAAAUAGGACUCUCGAAUUGAAUGUUUUCAAUAUGUGUAGGCAACAUAAUGAGGAAAAUGAGAAUGAAGAUGAAAUUGAUGAACAAAAGGAAUUGCUUGAAUCUUGUAUAGAUGAGAAUAUUCAAAAAAGGAGUUUUUCUGAACUUAGUGAUAUUUGUUUGGUUAAUUCGAAUGAAUCAAAUAAACAACUUGAACAUGAUACUUCUAAUGUAAAUUUGUUAUUCAAAAAAGGGAGUUUUUUUUAACUUAGUGAUAUUUGUUUGGUUAAUUCAAUUGAAUCAAAUAAACAACUUGAACAUGAUACUUCUAAUAUAAAUUUGUUAUUCAAAAAGGGAGUUUUUCUAAACUUAGUGAUAUUGUUUGGUUAAUUCGAUUGAAUCAAAUAAACAACUUGAACAUGAUACUUCUAAUAUAAAUUUGUUAUUUGAUUCUUGUCAGACUUUGCAAAGUGAUGAUGGGAAACCAAAAUUGAGGAACUUGGAAUCAUUGAAAAGACUAAACAACAAGAAGCGCCUAAAUUGGAAUUGAAAAAUUUGCCAAAGGGAUUGAAGUAUGCUUAUCUUGGAGAAGAACAAACUUAUCCUUCAACCUUAUCAAGCGACCAAGAAGGUAAGUUACUAUCUGUUCUUAAAAAGCAUAAAAACGCAAUUGGAUGGACUUUAAAUGACAUUAAAGGUAUUAAUCCUUUAAUUUGCACACAUAGAAUCAAUUUGGAAGAAAAUGAUAAAACAUGUCAACAACCUCAAAGAAAAUUAAACCCACACAUGAAAGAAGUAGUAAAAAUAGAAGUUCUUAAGUUACUUGAUGCAAGAAUUAUCUACCCUAUCUCUGAUAGUAAGUGGGUAAGUCCUACACAAAUAGUGCCUAAAAAAUUUGGAAUCACUAUAGUUAGAAAUGAAAAAGAUGAAUUAAUUCCAACAUGAAUUACGUCUAGUUGGCGCAUGUGCAUUGAUUAUAGGAAAUUAAAUAAAGCCACUAGAAAAGAUCAUUUUCCAUUACCAUUUCUUGAUCAAAUCUUAGAAAGAGUAGCUGGACAUCCCUACUACUGCUUUUUAUAUGGAUAUUCAGGUUAUUAUCAAAUUCCUAUAGCACUUGAAGACCAAGAAAAAACCACAUUUUCAUGUCCCUUUGGAACAUUUGCAUUUAAAAGAAUGUCAUUUGGACUUUGUAAUGCUCCUGCAACAUUUUAAAAAUGCAUGCUAAGUAUUUUUACUAAUAUGAUUGAACAUUAUUUAGAGGUCUUUAUGGAUGAUUUGACAGUGUUUAGGAAUUCUUUUGAUGAUUGCCUUGAUAAUUCGGAAAACGUUUUAAAAAGAUGUGUUGAAAAAGAACUCGUUUUAAAUUGGGAAAAAUGUCAUCACAUGGUUACUUCUGGAAUUGUUUUGGGUUUUGUUGUAUCUGUUAAAAGAAUUGAAGUUGACAGCAAAAAUUGAAGUCAUAUAUAAAUUGCCACAACCAAAAAUAGUUAGAGAUAUGCGAUCCUUUUUAGAACAUGCAGGAUUUUAUAGGAGGUUUAUAAAAAAAUUUAGUGUCAUAUCUAAAUCACUUUGUAGCCUCUUAUUAAAAGAUGCACCAUUUGAAUGGACUGAUGAUUGCCAAAAGUCUUUUGAGAAAAUAAUUUGCCUUUUGACAUUUGCACCUAUUAUGCAAUCUCCUGAUUGGUCUUUGCCUUUUGAAUUAAUGUGUGAUGCAAGUGACUUUGCUGUUGGUGUUGUUUUAGGACAAAAAAAGGAUCGUAAGUCGUUUGUGAUUUAUUAUGCGAGUAAGACUUUGGAUAGUACUCAAAUGAAUUAUUCUACAACUAAAAAAGAAUUACUUGUUGUGGUGUAUGCAUUAAACAAAUUUCGCUCAUAUUUGCUUAGAUCUAAAACUGUUGUUUUUACUGAUCACACUGCUGUGAGAUACUUGAUGACUAAACCACUUUGUAGCCUCUUAUUAAAAGAUGCACCAUUUGAAUGGACUGAUGAUUGCCAAAAGUCUUUUGAGAAAAUAAUUUGCCUUUUGACAUCUGCACCUAUUAUGCAAUCUCCUGAUUGGUCUUUGCCUUUUGAAUUAAUCUGUGAUGCAAGUGACUUUGCUGUUGGUGUUGUUUUAGGACAAAAAAAGGAUCGUAAGUCGUUUGUGAUUUAUUAUGCUAGUAAGACUUUGAAUAGUACUCAAAUGAAUUAUUCUACAACUAAAAAAGAAUUACUUAUUGUGGUGUAUGCAUUAAACAAAUUUCGCUCAUAUUUGCUUGGUUCUAAAACUGUUGUUUUUACUGAUCACAUUGCUGUGAGAUACUUGAUGACUAAACAAGAUGUCAAACCAAGCCUAAUUCGUUGGAUUUUGUUACUUCAAGAAUUUGACCUCACCAUCAAAGAUAAAAAGGGUGCCGAAAAUGUCAUUGCUGAUCAUUUAUCAAGACUCACAUCUGAAAUCUGCACUGAUGUAACACCCAUCAAUGAUUUCUUUCCCGAUGAAUUUUUAUUAUAUGUUACUUCAAUACCAUGGUAUGCUAACAUUGUUAAUUUCCUUGUUAUAGGUAAAAUGCCUUCGCAAUGGAACACUCAGGAGAAGAAAAAAAUUUUGGUUGAAGUAAAGAAAUUUUAUUGGAAUGAUCCUUACUUGUUCAAAUAUUGCCCUAAUCAGAUUUUUCGACGAUGCAUUCUUGAUAAUAAGGUAAGUAGUGUCAUUAAUUUUUGUCAUUCUGAAGCAUGUGGUGGACACUUUUCUUCAAGAAAAACUACGGCUAAAAUUUUGCAAUGUGGAUUUUAUUGGCCUGCCAUAUUCAAAGACACAUAUAAAUUUUGCAAAACUUUUGAAAACUGUCAAAAAUUAAGAUCAAUUAGUAAAAAAAACAUGAUGCCCUUAGAUCCCACACUUGAGAUUGAAAUAUUUUACUCUUGGGGAAUUCAUUUUAUGGGUCCAUUUCCACCAUCUUUUGGAUUUGUGUACAUAUUAGUUGCAGUUGAUUAUGUCUCAAAAUGGAUUGAAGCAAUGUCUUGUCGAAAUAAUGAUAGUAAAAUUGUCGUUAAAUUUUUAAGAGAAAACAUUUUAAGUCGAUUUGGAAUUCCUCAAGCCAUUAUUAGUGAUGGAGGUAGGCAUUUUUGUAAUAAGUCAUUUGAGUUUUUAAUGAAAAAAUAUGGAAUUACUCAUAAAAAUGCUACCCCUUAUCAUCCUCAAACAAAUGGUCAAGUUGAAUUAGCAAAUAGGGAGAUAAAACAAAUUUUAGAAAAAACAGUUAACCCAAACCGCAAAGAUUGGUCUCUUCGAUUGACUGAUGCACAUUGGGCAUACUGUACUGCAUUUAAAACGUCUUUAGGAAUGUUACCUUGUCGGCUAGUUUAUGGUAAACUCAUUCACUUACAUGUUGAACUUGGGCAUAAAUCAUUUUGGGCUGUUAAAGCUUUUAAUUCAAAUUUGGAUUAUGUUGGUAAUGUACGAAAAUUGCAAUUGAAUAAACUUGAGGAAUUAAGAAAUGAUGCAUAUGAAAAUUCAAGAAUUAUUAAGGCAAGAACAAAAAAUUUUCAAGAUAAAAGAAUUUUUCGAAAAACAUUUGAAAUUGGUCAAAAAGUGUUGCUUUAUAAUUCUCGUCUUCAUUUGUUUUCAGGAAAGUUAAAAUCAAAGUGCAGUGACCCAUUUAUUGUAAAAAAUAUAUAUCCACAUGGGGCUGUAGAAAUUGAGAAUCCAAAAAAUAGUGUCACAUUUAAAGUUAACGGACAAAGAAUAAAGCCCUAUCUGGAAAACCAAUCACGUGAACCAAGCACCGAAAUAAAUUUGAGUGACCCACAAACUCUUGAUUAAGUUUUUAAUGAGUAUUUUAACUUUUCACUGUUAUUUUCCCGUUUGAAUUGUUUGACUGUCUUGAAUGAUACGCGUUGUGAUGUUUCUUACUUAAGUGUGUUUAAUAAUUGUGUUUUCUUCAUCAUUAUACAUCAUGAGUAUCUCAAUAAGGAAGAUUUUGUUCACACGUCUUAAAAGACUUUUGCGAAUAAGAUUUCACUUGAGAAGAUUGAUACAGAGCUGUAAAUUACAUCCAAUUUGGGAACGACAACCACCAGAAUUAGUGGCCUACAUUGAGGAUCAAGAAAGACAACUAAGAACAAUAGAGAGGUUAACUCAAUGAGAGGACGAAUGUAAGUUCAUUUUCCUUUGUACAUAUUGUGUUUCUUUUUUGUUGUUCGCUUUCACGUUUAAUCUGAUUUUACAGAUUUGAUUUUGGUGUGUUUUGAUUUAUUUUCCCGUAUAAAUGGAGAAUAACGGUACUCCGUGACUUCUUAAGUCGGUAUCCUCAAUUUCCCACAAUAACUGGAAUCUCAAAAUCAAGCAUGGAAGAAAUACAACAUAAAUUGCAUAAGCGUUUUUCUUCUCUCCCUCAAAAUGCACUCAAAAAAAUUUACAAAGCUCGUUGUGAAAGAUUGCGUUUGUUAAUGACAACGAAAUUUCUUCUGAUAUUCGUUGGUUAAUUGAAGCAAAGAUCCAAUUAGUUGGUGAGUUUCCUGAUCCAUUUAUUUCUUACAUGCCUGGUUUUGGUAAAAGCACAUUUGCUAAAAAACGGAGAGCUAAAAGACUUGGCUCAGAAUGUCAUAAUUGUGUGCGACUUAGUUGCAAACUAGAAGUUUGUAAAUCUUUAGGAAUGAUUUCUAAUAAUCGAGAAGAUAAAAUUAAAUUCGUCAAAGAUGGCAUAAGUAAAGAAUCGUUGGAUGAUAUCUUACGAUCUCUUGAGACGCAUCAAAACAGACAUGUGCAAUAUGAGAUACACAGGUUAUGGAGACUAUUCCAAAAACAAUGUGCACAGUUUAGUCUUGGGAAUCUAACUCAAAAAGACCUUAUUUGCCAGUUUAUAAGAAAGUUGGAUGGGAAGCCUAUCCUCAACCCAUAAAGGGCGUUCAAGCCGUUACCAGACGUAAAACCAGAGAAAGAUGUGAGCCACAAUCACAACUACCAGUAAAUAUUCUUUUACUUUAUUGUUCUUUUAUCAUUUGCAUUAUUGUAUGGUGGGAUUUUGUAUCUAAUCAUUAUUUGUUUUCUUUUACUUUUUUCUUUCUUUUCACUGUUUGCUUUUCUUUUUACUGUUUACUUUUGAAUAAUUGAGACAUGAGCUUUAUGCGUCAUCUAACAAAUACACCAACUCAUUUAUAGUUGUUUCUCAUUUUGUUUGUCACUCAGAUCUUUAAAUAAGAGCUCUUUUUCCAACCACUCACAACUUAUUUUUGAAGAUUAUUCUAAUGGCAACAUCUUCGAGUUCGUUCAAGCAGCUGUAGAUCUUGGUCGUGCCAUAACUUAGAGGAAACUGCACCUUGUAUAUGGAGGAGGUGACCACGGGUUAUCAAAACUUGUCUCAGAAUCUGUUUUUAUUAGAGGAAACCAAGUACUAGGUAUCAUUCCACAAGCCUUAAAACCUCUAGGAUGUAGGUUUGAUGUACCAAUUGGAGAAGAGUUAGUUAUCUCAAGUAUGCAAGAGUGAAUAACUGAGAUGUUAAAUCAUGCUGACGCUUUCAUUUUCUUGCCAGGAGAUCUUGCAACUUUAGAGGCAUUGAGCCCAUUUAAACUUCUAUAAAAAACCCAUCGGUUUACUAAAUGUUAAUAAUUUUUUUGAUGGGUUGCUCACAUUCAUUAACCAUGCAAUUAAGAAUCAUUUUAUUCUAAUCUCUGCGAAAAAUCUCUUUGUUUGUGCUUCUACGGCUAACGAGUUACUUGAUCUUUUACAAGCUUACAAACCAGAGCUAGAUCCUAAGACCUUGGCAUUGGAAUGGUCGACUGAUGAUGGUAACCCUAGCCCUAGGAAGAAGUACAAGUUGGACUUAUCUUUGGUUGUCACUAUCUUCUCAAAGCUAUGAGGUUAUGUCUUUUAAACUCUACUUCUUUCCUUUAAGUCAUUGAGGACAAUGUCUUGUUCAGGUUGGGGGGAGGGAAUAGUUGACAACUGUGGAAUAUAGCAAAUCCUAGUAAUGCUUUUGUCGAAGAUGGCAGAAUAUGAGGUGUAGCGACUCUAUAAACGCAUCUUCAGUGGCUUGUUCAGGUGUGAUCUUUCCUAUUUCUUCUUUUAUUUUUUUUUUUAAUUUUUUUCCUUUUUGCAUGCAUAUUUUUAAACUAUGAAUUAUGUUUAGAUUAGGUUGGAGGGAGGGUAGUUGACGUAAAUUGUAAAUAAGUGUGUUUAUUUUUUUAAAAAAACCCAAAAAAAACAAAAACAACAAUUUUUUUGUGUCUAGGAUGGCUGUGUAAAGAGUCACAACUUUUGAGACGCAUCCUAAUAGUCUUGUUGUAUUAUAUUUUUUAUUUUAAAAUUCAUAAUAAGUUGUUUUUGUCCCCUUUUCUUUGAAUUACUCAAAUUUGUGUACUCUCCUCUAUUUAGUUAUAAAGUUAUUUUGUUGUUUACUCAUUUAACAGGUAUUAUUAAAUCAUUCUUGACACACACUAUGACACAUACUAGUGGGUUGUAAGUUAAAAUUUUUGUAGCAUUUAGUUUUUUUAAUUUAUUCGGGAUAAUAUCUAAAGUGGUAGAAAGUGUAUAUUGCAAAAAAAAAAAGGUAAAAAAAACAAAAUUGAAUGAGUUUAAUUUUGUUAUAUCUAAAACCCGAGUAAUUAAGUUCGUAGAGGUGUUUUAAUACCUAGUGCCCUAAGGUCAACUGGUCUGGGAGUCACUGGUCUAAAGCUCGCUACAUGGGUUAUAAAUAUAUUGUUUGCUUAUUUAUUAAAAACCCGAGUAAUUAAGUUUGUAUGGGUGUUUCAACACCUAGUGCCCUAAGGUCAACUAGUCUGGGAGUCACUGACCUAAAGCUCGCUACAUGGGUUAAAAAUGUAAUUUUCAAAAAAAAGCUUGAAUAAUCUACUGCCUGAAGAUAGAAUUUCUAAUGAGUUUUAGAACGAAAAUGUUGUUUUCUUUUAAUAAAACCCCAUAAGUAUUGUGUUAAUCACUUGAGCACAAAAGAAGGUUUAUGAUAUUCUGGAUAAUGAGUGGACAACCAAGAGUUUUAAAAAAAAUUGAGAGUUUAUUUAUUUGGUAGUUUAGAGGAUAGAUGAACAACUAUUAACUUGUAUGUGAAUUUUGUAAAUCUUAAUUUAAUAUAACGCUUUAAUUGAUAGGGGAUAGCAAUAAGCUAGUUGGGGGGUGUGAUUAGUGUUAAAAAUUGCAUGUUUAUUAAGGGAUAAAAAUGUUAUUUUGUUUUAUUAAUGUAAUUUAUAUUUGUAAUUGUGUAACGUAUUGUGAAUUUCUAAUUAUUUUUCUAAAUAUUUGAUUUUAUGUAUUUUUUGUGUGGUUAUUAGGUAAAAAUAAUAAUUUCAUGCAAUUUGAGGCUCCAAACAAAUGUAUGGAUGUCAAAUUUGGAUUCCCGAAGUCCGAAAAAUUAUGUCAUUAUCGAGGAGGAUCCAAGACUUUUGUUGUAAAUUUUUACGUUUUUACCACGGUAAAUGUGGUAAUUGUAAAAUUAUAAGUUUUUAUCAUGUUAGGUAUGUUAAUUGUUAGUGGAAUGUGUUGGAUAUGCUUGAGUGGAUAAGUUAGGUUUAUGUUUUAUUAGUGGGAUUAUUAGUGGGACAAAUGUAAGGUUAAGAUGUAAUUAGAUUUUUUUUUUUUUUGGUUUAAACCACCCGAUUUCCGGCGACCGCAUUGGGCCCCGACUAAUUCGGAUUCGGGGUGUAGUCACAGUUAAGGCUCUUUACCCCUCCCAAAUGGUGUGUUUAGUGGGGAUCGAACCCGAGAGCUCUUCCCACUUACCCAGCCUGGGUUGCCAACUGAGCCACAACCGUUUGGUGAUGUAAUUAGAUUUUUUUAUUUGUAUGGUGAGGAUUUACCAUGUUUUAGUAUAAAUAGAGGGGGGGUGAACACACCUCUCCACACCUUCUCUUCUCUUCUUUCCCCCCAAAUUCUUCUUCUCAUCUCUCUUUGUAAUUUAUUUUCAAUCAAUAAAAUUAGUUUUAUUUCAAUUUUCAAAUUCCAUUUUUAAUUAUGUGUUUUUCAAUUUUAGUAAU